UGGUAGAAGUUAUUUUUUGUGAUUUUAAAUGUUUCGGGUUCUAUCGGAUAUCCAUUUAGGUCCGGGUUCGGUUCGGAUAAUACCCAUAACCUAAAAUACCAAAAAACAAGAUCCAUUAGGUAUUUAUGUCGGGUUCGGAUUCAUUUUUAUCGGAUCGGGUUCGGUUCAGAUUUUCGGGUUCGGUUUAUUUGCCCAGCCCUAGCAAAAACUAGGUUCCCUAUAUUUUAGAGAAUCUAUUAUUUCAAAAUAUUGAUUGGAUGCAAAAUAGUUUUUGGAAAAACAAAAACCAAAAACUAAUCCAAAAACCACAAACAAUCAACCUCUGAUAGUGUUGCUUGUUACCAUAAUUUUUUAAAAAACUUUUUUGAAAGAAAACCUCGAUGUUUUUUUUUUUACUGAAGAAAACCGCAAUCUAUCUAUCUAUAAUAAUAAAGGAGAGUUUUCUCCCACCUCCUGCAGCCACGUCCUUUUUUAGGGAUGGGCAUAUGUCGCCACGUGUCGGCGCUUAAUUGGUUACGUUUUUUUUGUUUUUUCCCCUUAUUCGGUAUCUCUAUUUCACUGGUCUCCUCUCUCCUCUCUGCCAUGCCGGAUCUCUCUCUCUCUCUCUCUCUCUCUCUCUCUCGAUCUAUCCCGUGCCUCGCUCUAGAGAAGGCGAGAGACACCACCGGUAUCCUCUCUCCUCUCUGCCAUGCCGGAUCUCUCUCUCUCACAUGCCUCGCUCUAGAGAAGGCGAGAGCCACCACCGGUCUCCUCUCUCCUCUCUGCCAUGCCGGAUCUCUCUCUCUCUUUCCCGUGCCUGGCUCUGUCACGAAAGUUGGAGGAGGCAGAGAAGCUUGAUGGAGGAGGACGGAGAAUUCACGAGGUGGAGGAAGCGAGGUGGAGGAAGCUGGACGAACAGACAGCAGAAGAGGCAGGAUGAAAAGGCGGAGGAGGAAGCAUGACGCUCAAGUUUGCCAGCGGUGGAGAGAUCAACAAGAAGAUGGCGGCCUCUAGAUUAGGUUUAGUGCUGUAUUUUUUUUUUUUUUAAUUUUGUUUAAUGGUAUAAACCGGUUCAAAUAUUUUGUAAACCUGUUUUAAUAUAUACAUUCUAUGUUUAUCUAUAUUCUACAGUGAUGAGAGGACGAGAUCUUUUUGUAGAAGCAGUUUUGAGUGAUGAGGUCUGACACGGAGGCCAAGCCGUGGACGUUAAUGGCAGCGUAGAAGCUGGAGAGAGCUUCAGAGUUCAGACACAGAUGUGGGAGCUGUUCGGGACGCAAUGUCGAUGGCUGUCUCCCACCACGCAGCUGCUUUUACAGACGGACUACAGGAUGUGAACUAUUGCCACCGAGUGAUGGUUGUUGGUUUCAAACUAUUGCCAGAAAGGUGAGUGAGAAGUUUCAUCUCAUUGGUUAAGUUUGCCAGCGGUGGAGAGAUCAACAAGAAGAUGGCGGCCUCUAGAUUAGGUUUAGUGUUGUAUUUUUUUUUUUUUAAUUUUGUUUAAUGGUAUAAACCGGUUCAAAUAUUUUGUAAACCUGUUUUAAUAUAUACAUUCUAUGUUUAUCUAUAUUCUACAGUGAUGAGAGGACGAGAUCUUUGUAGAAGCAGUUUUGAGUGAUGAGGUCUGACACGGAGGCCAAGCCGUGGACGUUAAUGGCAGCGUAGAAGCUGGAGAGAGCUUCAGAGUUCAGACACAGAUGUGGGAGCUGUUCGGGACGCAAUGUCGAUGGCUGUCUCCCACCACGCAGCUGCUUUUACAGACGGACUACAGGAUGUGAACUAUUGCCACCGAGUGAUGGUUGUUGGUUUCAAACUAUUGCCAGAAAGGUGAGUGAGAAGUUUCAUCUCAUUGGUUACAUAUAUUCUGCAAAUAUAUCUUUUUAUUCCUCCACUGCAAGGUAUAUCUUUUUAUUCAUCCAAGUAUGCAUCUUUAUGGAGUUUUGUAGCUUGUGAUUAAGUGUUUAGUGUAGCCAAUCUUAAAGCUUCAUUCGUGGAGGAGUUUAAGUCUGGAGUUUAAGUCUGAACGUUCUUUAAGAUUUGAAUAGUUUUCAUUUUUGAAGGAUUUGGUAAAGAUCCCAACUUUUUAACGUUGACAUGUGUGGAUUCACAGGUUUAUUCUUUGGACUGGACACCUGAGAUGAACCAGAUUGUCAGUGCAUCUCAACAAGACACGCUCAGUUAGAAGAGAAAAGUGAUGGAAAAGGGAAAGACACAACCAAAGGGCCAAUUGAUAAAGUGCUGAAAAUGCAAUCGUUUAGAUCUUGAAAAGAUACUGAAAAUGUGGGAGAUUGGCACAUUUCUCCAUUAGAGUUACUCCACAGUGGUCCUUUGCUUGAUUUUGAUCUUCUUCCAGGAUGUUGUUCUUCAAUGGCUGCCUUGAGUUUACCGUCUCUACCAAAUGUCCUUAUCUCAGACACUUGUGGAGAAGCUUAUGGUCUCUGUGAGUAACCAACUUGAACCGUAGAUCUACAUAGAUAGUUUGUUGUUUGUCUCAUAUUUUGUUCAUCAAUUUUCAGGUCAAAGCUGCAGAGCCUUUUCAACCAGAUAUCUUUCCAUACUUCACAGGCCAGGAAUCUAAAACAGAGACGCACAUAGCUACGAAAUGUUGUCUCUGAGACCCCGCAAAUGUUUGAGACAAACGACUGUUGUUAGUUUAUUUCACUAUGUAUCUCUACAGACUCAGCUUUGUAUUGACAAGCUUUUUCAUGAGAAGAACAAUAUGCAUUUACAAAACAGCUUCCUUAUUGUUUUCAUAUUGUUAGAAACAUUGAAUACGUUCCUGCAAUUCUUCUGUGAUUUUUUCUGCAUGGGUUUACAUUCCCCUGUCACUAGAAUGUUUGCAAGAUUUGGUUUAAUGUUUGUGCGUUUGUGUGUGUUUUGACGUGUUUUUGACUACGUCCCGCAUAUAUUAUAACUUAAUUGUAUGAGAAAUCUAUAGCAUAACAAUUUACAGGAAAAUAUAACAAACCUACAAACACAAUGUAUUUUACCUAUAAGUGGCUCCGCUCACCCAUGGGUCUUCUUCGUUAGGGCUGCCACAAGCCCUCAUAAGAACUUAGCGUAUUCCAAAAAAGGGUCACAAUAAAUAGACAAUAACACAAACUCUCAAUUAUGAGCUACUCAGCUGUUACCUCACCCACCCCUCUACAAACAACUAAGUGGGAGUUAUUAAGUCUACAAUAAUAUGUCAUCCAAACAAGAUCACUAUGAGAUACCACCACUGCUAUUAUUUUAUAAGAGAGCUAGAUUUUGAUCCGCUCUCUAAAAGCGCCGAUAACUUUUUACUAUUCUAAUAAAAUUCGAUUGAGUUUAUAACUUUUAUUUUAAAAUAAUAAUUUUCAAGUUUUUCUAUUUGAAUUUUAAAAAAAUUGUUCUAUUAUACUAUUUGAUUUUCUUAUCCGAAAGACCCGUGAAUCGAUAGAUCCAGUGACCUGUGUAUAAUCCGGUUCAAAUUUAGUAAAAAGAAUUUUAAUUAAAAAUUCUAGAAAACCAGUAAAAAUCUAAAAAUAUGUACGAUCUGAUAUCAUUAUUAUGUAAAAACAAUAUAAUAAAUAUUUUUUUCAAAAUAAAAUUAUUUAUAUAUUCAUAUUCGAUCGUUAAAUAAUACUAUGCAUGAAAAAAAUAUAUUUAAAUUUAAUGGAGUGUAUAGUUUGCAUAAAAAUUAGAAUUAUUAUAAUUCACAAAAUAUGGAAAGUAUUAAUUACCAUAAAUAUAGGGAAUGUUCAUAUUAUUAAUUUAAAUAAGUAAUAUAUGUGAGAUUUAUAUCUCCUACGAAUUAAAAAAUUACAUCGCUCUUUUACGAUAAAAAUAAUACUCCAAGCAGCGAAAGAGCAUCUUCUUUGGAGAUUUAUAUCUCCUACGAACUAAAUUGUCUAUGUCAUCUUUUUCCAAAAUUUUAAUUUCAUUAUGUCAUACAUGUGAACUUUCCCAUAAACAAAAACAAACACAUGCAUUUACAUGUUUUUUUGGAACAUCAAUUUUACUUUAUGUUUUAAGUUCAACUAUAUUUAUUUUGGUGCAGUUAUCAGCUAUUUAUUCUAUUUUUAUUGAAUCGAUUAGUGAAACCACUUAUACUAUUCAUUUUUGACAUAAACAACUUCAAAAUAAAGUAAUAAACUACUAUCUCUAACCACUAUCAAAUGAAUAGAUAAAAAAAUUGAAUUCAUUUGAAAAUUAGUAGAGAAUAAAACAUAUGAACCUACGCGCCGGAAUACCACUAGUGUUAUAGUAAAGAAGACUUAUUUGUAACAAACUUCCUCAAUUUUUUUUUCAAUAUGAAUUUCAGUAAAUGAAAUGAGAGGGUUUUAUAAGAUAUUACAAAAGUCAGCUUAACCGGAAAAGUUUUAUCAUUGCAAAAAAAAAAAAAAAAAAAGAAGAAAAAACAA